UACGUAGGGGGCGAGCGUUGUCCGGAAUCAUUGGGCGUAAAGAGCGUGUAGGCGGCUCGGUAAGUCCGCUCUGAAAGCCCGGGGCUCAACCCCGGGAGGCGGGCGGAUACUGUCGGGCUAGAGUCCGGAAGAGGCGAGUGGAAUUCCUGGUGUAGCGGUGAAAUGCGCAGAUAUCAGGAGGAACACCAAUGGCGAAGGCAGCUCGCUGGGACGGUACUGACGCUGAGACGCGAAAGCGUGGGGAGCAAACAGG
rnacentral:rRNA from 1 species